UACGAAGGGGGCUAGCGUUGCUCGGAAUCACUGGGCGUAAAGCGCACGUAGGCGGCUUUUUUAAGUCAGGGGUGAAAUCCUGGAGCUCAACUCCAGAACUGCCUUUGAUACUGGGAGCUCGAGUCCGGGAGAGGUGAGUGGAACUCCGAGUGUAGAGGUGAAAUUCGUAGAUAUUCGGAAGAACACCCAGUGGCGAAGGCGGCUCACUGGCCCGGUACUGACGCUGAGGUGCGAAAGCGUGGGGAGCAAACAGG
rnacentral:rRNA from 1 species